CACCGCGGUUAUACGAGAGGCCCAAGUUGACAGAUGCCGGCGUAAAGCGUGGUUAAGAUAAACUAAAACUAAAGCCGAACACCUUCAGGGCAGUUAUACGCAUCCGAAGGCACGAAGCCCUAUCACGAAAGUGGCUUUAUGAUUCCUGACCCCCCGAAAGCUAUGAAA
rnacentral:rRNA from 1 species